rnacentral:hammerhead_ribozyme from 1 species
GAACUGCUGAGGAAUCCAUAAUAGGACGAAACAGCCGUCCAGUGC